rnacentral:rRNA from 1 species
UACGAAGGGGGCUAGCGUUGUUCGGAAUUACUGGGCGUAAAGGGCGCGUAGGCGGUGUGUCAAGUCAGGCGUGAAAGCCCCGGGCUCAACCUGGGAACCGCGCUUGAGACUGGCACGCUCGAGUUCGGGAGAGGAUGGUGGAAUUCCCAGUGUAGAGGUGAAAUUCGUAGAUAUUGGGAAGAACACCGAUGGCGAAGGCAGCCAUCUGGACCGACACUGACGCUGAGGCGGCGAAAGCGUUGGGGAGCAAACAGG